rnacentral:lncRNA from 1 species
AUUUACAGAUGGAGUAUUUGACAAGUGGAUGAUGCAAUAUUAUGAUAAUUUGUAGAAAGAUGCAUUCGUUUCAUGUUGUGCAUAUAUGCCAAAUUUAGUGGUAAAUUCAUCUGAGCCAUAGAUGCCAGAAUGACGAGCAUUGCAUCAUGCAUUAUUCUCUUCUACUGAUUUUUCUUCUCCUAGUUGUCUACAUCCAGAGGGUGGAGUUAGCAUACCACCAAUAAGUUCAAGAGUACCUAAUAAAAUUUUGCAUAUCUUAUACAAUCACUAUCUAUCAGUGGAGCUAAGCUUAUAAAUUCCUGAAUCUGACCCCAUGCACUGGAAUUGAUUCCUAUGGUGUCUGUCCUGGCUACCCCCGUCUACAUUUUGGACCAGCGUGUCAUGUGAUUUUCAUAAAUGGGGUUAUGGUGUCCAUAGGAGCACCAAAUAUGGAGUCCCUCGUUCAUUACGGCGUCAAUAGAAACCCACAGCAUAAUUUUAGCGUUACAAUUAGUUGGGCAUGUUGAGUGUUAUGCAUGUUAGGAAUAUGCAACUUGUAUUCCCAUGAGGCCAUAGGCCGAUAUAUAUACAUAUACAGAUGUGGACUAUAUGCAGAAAACCCCUUAUACAAUGGGAUAAAUACGAAGAGGUACAUGGCUAUAUUAUAUAUACUCUAAUACCCCCCUCAAACUCAUGGUGGAUGAACAAUAUCGAGUUUGGAGAGAUAGAAGCCAUGUUGCGCUCUAGUCUGGGCCUUCGUCAGGAAAUCCGCCAACUAUAACUCGGAAUGCACAUAUUGAAGUGCAAUAACCUGAUCCUGCACACCAGCACACACAUAAAAAACAUCAACACCAAUGUGCUUGGUGAGCUCAUGCUUCACAGGAUCGCGCGCAAUGCUGAUAGCACCUGUACUGUCAGAUAAGAGCAUAGUAGGUGUAGUGGCAGAAACACCAAAAUCCUGAAGUAACCACCGUAACCAAGUCACCUCUGCCGUCAAAAGAGCCAUCGCUCGCAACUCAACCUCAGCACUCGAACGUGAAACUGCGGUAUGUUUCUUCGUCUUCCAGGCAAUGAGAGAACCACCAAGAAAAACACAGUAAGCAGAAAGUGAACGGCGAUCUGAAGGAUCACUAGCCCACGUAGCAUCCGAAUAGGCCUGAAGCUGUAAAGAACUGGAGCGAGGAAAGAAUAGACCGUGAGAGAUCGUGCCCCGAAGAUAUCGGAGAACACGAAGGAGGUGACUAUAGUGAACCGAGGUGGGAGCGGAGACAAACUGACUCAGAAUAUGAACCGGAUAAGAGAUAUUCGGACGAGUGACAACUAGAUAGACAAGACUGCCAACAAGAUGAUGAUAACGCGUCGGGUCAGGCAGGGGGUCACCAUCAGUAUCACGAAGGUGAACAUUGAGCUCCAUGGGAGUCUCAACACGCUCGUCAGUAAGAGCAGCACGAGCAAGAAGAUCCUGGAUAUACUUUUCCUGGGAUAUAAAAAAGCCAUCAGAGGUAGAAGAGACUUCUGUUAGAGUAUAUAUAAUAUAGCUAUGUACCCUUUUGUAUUUAUCCCAAUAUACAAGGGGUUUCCUGCAUAUAGUCCACCAUCUGUACAUGUAUAUAUAUCGGCCUAUGGCCUCAUGGGAAUACAAGUUGCAUAUUCCUAACAUGGUAUUAGAGCUAGGUCAAUUUUCUGCACGCUGCAACUCGUGCCAUUGAUCCUCUGCUCGUCCCGAUCGGAGCUGCCAGAUCCGCCGGCCCCGUUCUCCUCCUGCUCCCGCAGGCCUCGCUCGUUCUCUAGCCGUCCUGCUCGAUCUCCCGCAGCGGCCCCGAUCCAGCUCGAUCUCCCGCAGCGGCCCCGAUCCAACUCGAUCUCCCGUGCCUGCUCGAUCUCCCGCAGAGGCCCCGAUCCAGCUCGAUCUCCCGUGCCUGCUCGAUCUCCCAUAGCGGCCACGAUCCAGCUCGAUCCGCCGGCCCCGUGCCUGCUCGAUCUCCUGCAGCUGCCCCGAUCCAGCUCGAUCCGCUGGCCCCGUGCCUGCUCGAUCUCCCGCAGCCCGUGCUUGCUCAAUCUCCUGCAGCCAGCCACGAGCCGGCCGCGUUCGCAGCAGGAGGCCCCUGCUCGAAGCUGCCUCGGCCUCCAACCGAUUCCCUCCAGCCCUGUAUCCAUGAUCUGUUCCACGGCUGCAACUCGCUCGAAGCUGCUUCGCUCCGUUCCACGAUCUGUUCCACGGUUGGACACUUCUGAUGAUAUUCCUUAAAAAAAAGAAAAAAAGGAAAAAAGGAAAAAAAGAAAAAAAUGUCUGCAGUAUCUGGCUACGUUGCUGUUCCUCGCUGUCUGGUGAAUUUUGAUGGCACCAACUACAUCGAGUUCAUUGGCUUUAUGCGCAUUCAUAUGCGUGGCAUCCGUCUAUGGGGUGUUCUUUCUGGUGUGGUCUGCUGGCCGCCACGUCCGGUCCCUCCUAUGGCCCCUACUCCGCCGACGCCACUGGUUCUUCCUGCUGAUGCUACUCAGGCCGCAAAGGAUGCAACUAAGCUUGCUGAUGAGGCUGCUGUUCGUGCUUAUGAUUAGCAGGUUUUGACAUAUGAGGAGGCUCUUCAGGCAUAUCAUGGUGCUCUGUCUGUUUACACCCAGUGGUUUGAUGAUGAUGCUCGUGCUGCGGCUGUUCUCACUGCUAGUGUUCUGCCCCAGUUUGCCUUUGAGUUUCUGGGUCUUUCUACUGUCUUUGAGAUGUGGACCCGUCUUCGUCAGCGUUAUGAGCCCUCUGGUGAUGCCUUAUACCUCUCUAUGGUCCGUCAGGAGCAUGCUCUUCAGCAGGGUGACUCUACUGUUGAUGACUUCUAUGCACAGAGUUCUGCUAUCUGGCGCCAGCUUGAUUCUCUCCGUAGUGCUGGUUGUCGUACUUGCCCCUGUUGCCAGGCUGUCCAGGCCGACUUGGAGUUUUAUCGCGUCUACCAGUUCCUGUCUCGGCUCCGUAAGGAGUUUGAGCCCCGACGUGCUCAGUUGUUUGCUCGUGGCCGUAUUUCUCUCAUGGAGGCACUUUUUGAGAUUCGUGGUGAGGAGACUCGCUUGCGUGGUGCUGGUUUACUAGAGAUUCCCUCGCGAUGGCUCUUUUGACGGCAGAGGUGACUUGGUUACGGUGGUUACUUCAGGAUUUUAGUGUUUCUGUCACUACACCGACUCUGCUCUUCUCUGACAGUACAGGUGCUAUUAGCAUUGCGCGCGAUCCUGUAAAGCAUGAGCUCACCAAGCAUAUUGGUGUUGAUGCUUUCUAUGUGCGCGCUGGUGUGCAUGAUCAGGUUAUUGCUCUUCAGUAUGUGCCUUCCGAGUUACAGUUGGCGGAUUUUCUGACGAAGGCCCGGACUAGAGUGCAACAUGGCUUCUAUCUCUCCAAACUCAGUGUUGUUCAUCCACCAUGAGUUUGAGGGGGGGGGGUGUUAGAGUAUAUAUAAUAUAGAUGUGUACCCUUUUGUAUUUAUCCCAAUAUAUAAGGGGUUUUCUGCAUAUAGUCCACCACUUGUACAUGUAUAUAUAUCGGCCUAUGGCCUCAUGGGAAUACAAGUUGCAUAUUCCUAACAACUUCAAUCCCAAGAAAGUAACGAAGAGGUCCAAGAUCGGACAUAAGAAACUGCUCACUAAGACGGGCCUUUACAAAGGCAAUAUACUUGGGGUCAUCACACGUGAUGAUCAUGUCAUCAACAUAGAGAAGAAGAAGAGUCCGACCACGAGGAGAAAGGUGGACAAAUAAUGCUGGAUCAUGAGCACUGGUUCAAAAACCAGCAACAGUUACCACAGAGGCAAAUUGCUCGAACCAGGUGCGGGGAGCUUGCUUAAGGCCAUAGAGAGAGCGACGAAGACGACAUACCAUGCCAUCAGGAACAUAAUGUAGACCUCCUCACGUAGCUCACCAUUAAGAAAGGCAUUCUUAACAUCAAGCUGAGAUACAGACCAGUGGCGUGCAGAGGCCACGACAAGAAGUGUACGAAUAGUGGUCAUAUGGGCCACAUGAGCAAAAGUCUCGUCGUAAUCACGACCAUGCUCCUGCUGAAAGCCACGAGCCACAAGACGAGCUUUAUAACGCUCAAGAGAACCAUCGGAGCGAGUCUUAACCCUGUAAACCCACUUACAAGUGAUGGGACAGACACCGGGGGGAAGGGAAACAAGAUCCCAUGUACCAGUGCGUUCAAGAGCAGCAAUCUCCUUUGCCAUCGCAAACUGCCAUUUAGGAUGAACAACAGCCUGACAAUAGGAAGUCGGCUCAAGAACAGCAGCACCAGCGGUGGGAAAUCCAAGGUGAUCAACGGGCGGACGAGGGCGAGAACGCAAGGCAUAGGGAUGCUGAGAUGAGGAUGACGACACAUCCGCAGAGGCAUCCACAUGACGUGAACGACGAGUGUAACACUGAGGAAAAGAUGGAACAAUGCAAGGAGGGAUCGCCAAGGUAGAAUCGGGGGGUGAAGACGAAGAAGUCACCAGAGAUGUAGGUGCAGAACCCGAUGACAUGCUAGGGGAGGAAACCUUGGGAGAUGGUGGUGGUAAGUCGGCAAGAGGUGGAGAAGCAGAGGUAGUAGAACGAAUAGACAAAGGCUCGAUGAGGGUGAGAGGUGUAUCAGGAAAAGUGAGGAAAGAGAUAUCCUCCACUGAAAAGGUCGAGGAAGAUGGGCGUGAGUAGAAGGGACGAGACUCAUCAAAAGUCACAUCCCGAGAGAUACGCGUCCGACGACCGAUAGGAUCCCAACAACGAUAACCCUUAUGCUCAUCACUAUAGCCUAAGAAGACACUCAACAGACUGAGCGGUCAGUUUGGUGCGCUCGCGAGGGGCAAGAAGAACAUAGCAAACACAACCAAACAAGCGAAGCAUCGAAUGAUCAGGAGAACGAUCACAAAGGCGCUCGAAAGGAACACCACCCUGUAGAGCAGCGGAAGGUUGUAGAUUGAUGAGAUAGGUGGAGGUGGAGACGGCCUCAGCCCAAAAAUGAGGCGGGAGAGAGGCAGCAAUCAUCAAUGCACGAGCCGUCUCAAGAAGAUGACGAUGCUUUCGCUCAGCCACGCCAUUCUGAGCGUGAGCACCAGGACAAGAGAACUGAGAAAGAGUCCCUUGCUUAGCAAGACCACCACGAAACAUCUUAGAAAUAUACUCGCCAACGGAGUCAGCACGAAACACACGAAUGGGCGAAGAGAAAUAGACAACACCUCACUACGAGAAGUCAUGAAAUAAAGCCAUGUGUAACGAGAGAAAUCAUGUAUAAAAAUAAUAUAUUAUUUAUGACCCCCUUUCAAAGCAAAGGGAGCCGGACCCCAUACAUCAGAAUGGACUAAAUCAAAAGGACGCUUAGACACUGACUCACUAUGCGAAUAUGGUAACUGAAUUUGCUUGCCAAGACGACAACCCUGACAUUCUAAAGAGACAUCUCCUGAGACAGAUCCCAGAAGACCUUGACGAACUAAAGACGACAAACGAGAACCACAAAGAUGACCAAGUCGAUGAUGCCACUGCUGGAAGGAACCGGUAGCAUAGGCGACCGAAGCGGAGGAACUGGCGAUAGUGGUGGCAGCGAAAGGAACAUGAAGCCAGUCUAACUCCCAAAUACCCGUCGAAUCACGGCGGCGAGGGCCAGCUCCAACCAAGCUUCAUGCACUAGCCAACACAACCAAAAGUCCGAACUGAUGGAAAGAGCUAGUGCAAUCCACAUAUACUGUAACACCCCCUCUCACGUGUGACGGGGAAGACAAGUCAACACGUGUAACCGGAAGAGAGCGACGGCGCGCGAAACUCACGUAUGCCUCAAGAGGUCUCUACGAGGACAUAAAAGGGGGCUACCAGCAACUUUUUAAAUAAAUUGCGAAAGUCAGGACUUGAACUCAAGACCUUAGCUCUGAUACCAUGUUAGGAAUAUGCAACUUGUAUUCCCAUGAGGCCAUAGGCCGAUAUAUAUACAUGUACAUGUGUGGACUAUAUGCAGAAAACCCCUUAUACAAUGGGAUAAAUACGAAGAGGUACAUGGCUAUAUUAUAUAUACUCUAACAAUGCAUUCCAUGCAAUAUUAAACUUCUCAGUUUGUUUUGAGCAUUUUAUUAACUUGGACCUUUUUAC